rnacentral:sRNA from 1 species
GGGGAACAUGUCGGAGUCAGAGCUCGGCAGGAAGUGGGACCGGUGCCUGGCGGAUGCGGUCGUGAAGAUAGAGAUGGGGUUUCACCAUGUUGCCCAGGCUGGUCUUGAACUCAGGGUCCAAAUGAUCCACCUACCUUGGCCUCCCAACGUGCCGGGAUUACAGGCCUGAGCCACCACACCUGGUCCAUCUUGAUAAUUUCAUACUCUGGCUUGGCAAAGACGGAAGGGAAGCCAUGGUGAAUGCACAGCAACUUCUGUACUGGUUUUGGAUUAGGAAUUGUUUUCUCACUUACCUUCUUUAAAAGAAGAAUGUGGCCAUUAGCCUUUGGUUCCGGCAUGGGAUUAGGAAUGGCUUAUUCCAACUGUCAGCAUGAUUUCCAGGCUCCAUAUCUUCUACAUGGAAAAUAUGUCAAAGAGCAGGAGCAGUGACUUCACCUGAGAACAUCCCAGCGGGAGGACAAGAGAAAUCAUGUUUAUUCCUCAGGAAUACUGAAGUGCCCUGGAGUAAGCUGCCAUUCUUCUGUAACAGCGUUAUCAGUAAUGCUUUAAACUCCAGCACCUGGUUAUGUAUUUGAAACCAAGUCUGUUUCUUGUUUUGUAUUUUCUCUCUGGAAGUUAUAAGGAGGUGGUCUUAAAUAAAUUAAACAAAAAUGGGAA